GAUGAACGCUGGCGGCGUGCCUAAUACAUGCAAGUCGAGCGAACGGACGAGAAGCUUGCUUUUCUGAUGUUAGCGGCGGACGGGUGAGUAACACGUGGAUAACCUACCUAUAAGACUGGGAUAACUUCGGGAAACCGGAGCUAAUACCGGAUAAUAUUUUGAACCGCAUGGUUCAUAAGUGAAAGACGGUCUUGCUGUCACUUAUAGAUGGAUCCGCGCUGCAUUAGCUAGUUGGUAAGGUAACGGCUUACCAAGGCAACGAUGCAUAGCCGACCUGAGAGGGUGAUCGGCCACACUGGAAGUGAGACACGGUCCAGACUCCUACGGGAGGCAGCAGUAGGGAAUAUUCCGCAAUGGGCGAAAGCAUGACGGAGCAACGCCGCGUGAGUGAUGAAGGUCUUCGGAUCGUAAAACUCUGUUAUUAGGGAAGAACAUAUGUGCAAGUAAAUGUGCACAUCUUGACGGUAACUAAUCAGAAAGCCACGGCUAACUACGUG
rnacentral:rRNA from 1 species